rnacentral:rRNA from 1 species
UACGUAGGGUGCAAGCGUUAAUCGGAAUUACUGGGCGUAAAGCGUGCGCAGGCGGUUAUGUAAGACAGGUGUGAAAUCCCCGGGCUUAACCUGGGAACUGCAUUUGUGGCUGCAUAGCUAGAGUACGGUAGAGGGGGAUGGAAUUCCGCGUGUAGCAGUGAAAUGCGUAGAUAUGCGGAGGAACACCGAUGGCGAAGGCAAUCCCCUGGACCUGUACUGACGCUCAUGCACGAAAGCGUGGGGAGCAAACAGG